UACAGAGGGUGCAAGCGUUAAUCGGAAUUACUGGGCGUAAAGGGUGCGUAGGUGGUUUAAUAAGUUGGGUGUGAAAUACCUGGGCUCAACCUAGGAACUGCGCUCAAUACUGUUAAGCUAGAGUACUGUAGAGGAAAGUGGAAUUUCCAGUGUAGCGGUGAAAUGCGUAGAUAUUGGAAGGAACAUCAGUGGCGAAGGCGACUUUCUGGACAGAUACUGACACUGAGGCACGAAAGCGUGGGGAGCAAACAGG
rnacentral:rRNA from 1 species